rnacentral:rRNA from 1 species
GACGAACGCUGGCGGCGUGCUUAACACAUGCAAGUCGAACGCUGAAGCUUGGUGCUUGCACUGGGUGGAUGAGUGGCGAACGGGUGAGUAAUACGUGAGUAACCUGCCCUUGACUCUGGGAUAAGCCUGGGAAACUGGGUCUAAUACUGGAUACGACAUGUCACCGCAUGGUGGUGUGUGGAAAGGGUUUUACUGGUUUUGGAUGGGCUCACGGCCUAUCAGCUUGUUGGUGGGGUAAUGGCUCACCAAAGCGACGACGGGUAGCCGGCCUGAGAGGGUGACCGGCCACACUGGGACUGAGACACGGCCCAGACUCCUACGGGAGGCAGCAGUGGGGAAUAUUGCACAAUGGGCGGAAGCCUGAUGCAGCGACGCCGCGUGAGGGAUGACGGCCUUCGGGUUGUAAACCUCUUUCAGCACGGAAGAAGCGAAAGUGACGGUACGUGCAGAAGAAGCGCCGGCUAACUACGUG